rnacentral:lncRNA from 1 species
CAGGGCGAUACAGAGAAACUCUGUCUCGAAAAACAAAACAAACAACAACAAAAAUAAUACUAUAAACAGGUGCACUGUAGCUCUCUUUAGAUGCACCAGAAAAGGGCAUCAUCUCAUUAUGGGUAGCUGUGUGCCACCAUGUGGUUGCUGGGAUUUGAUUUCAGGACAUUCAGAAGAGCAGUCAGUGAACUUAUCCGCUGAGCCAUUUUGCCAGCACUACUCCUUAGCUCUUAACAUAUUAUCUUUCAAAUGCCUUUUUCCUUUCUCAGAACUUUAAUUGUUCCAUGUUAAUCACACACACACACACACACACACACACACACACACACACAAGAAAUGAGAUCUGAAGCUAGGAUUCAUGUAGGGGAAAACUCUGUUUGCCUUACUUAGUCUUGUUUAAAUUCUUUUGAUUUAUUUACCAGUUACAAAAUUUCAAUUUUCUUUAGCACCGAUAUUCCAUAGUACAGGUUUAAUAAUUAUCUCGUCAUUCAUCUGUUUAUGAACAUGUUCCACUUUCUAGUUAUUGUGGAUAGAGCAGCAAUGAACAGAGAUGUCUAAAUAUUCCUUAUCGUAGUACAUAAAGUUCUUUGGGUAUAUGCCCAGGCGUAGUAUAACUGAAUCAUAUGGCAGUUGUACAUUUUCUCUGUGUUCCCCUUGCUGUCCUGGAACUCUCUUUGUAGAGAUGAAUUGUCUUUUACUCAGAUAUCUGCUUGUCUAUACUCCUGAGUGCUGUUAUUAAGGUAUUUACCACCAUUACCCUACUGAUAGUUGUAUGUCUUGUAACCAGAGUGCUUUGGAAAUUGUCUGGGAUAGUUCAUAUUUUAUAACAACAGUGUGAGCCGGGCAGUUGUGGCGCACACCUUUAAUCCCAGCACUUAGCAGGCAGAGACAGGUAGAUUUCUGAGUUCAAGGCCAGCCUGAUCUACAGAGUGAGUUCCAGGACAGCCAGGGCUACACAGAGAAACCCUGUCUCAGGGAAAAAAACAAAACAAAACAAAACAAAACAAAACAAAACAAAACAAAAAACAAAAAAACAGCAGUGUGCAUGAGAUUUACACAAUAUUGGUUGCCCUUUUUGUGUUGUGAAAUAUAAUCUUUCUAACUAUACACACACACAACCUGCACCCCCAAUAUUAUACACAUAGUACAUAUAUAGAUAAAUACAUAUGGGUAUAAGGCCAGGAGUGGUAUAACUGAAUCAUAUGGCAAUUAUUUCCCAUCCCACAGGAUUCAGUUAUUCGUGGGUGCGAGGGGGACCACAAACCUGGAAGGAAAUGGGAGGAAGAAAAAGAGAAACAGGAGACCAAGAAGAUGGUACCUAUCAAGGUCUCGUUUAUUGGGCUGAGGAAUUUUCCAGUACCUGUAAUUUCUCCAUUCUUGACUCUGCCUUAAAUUCAACUAGACAGCUGGCUUUUAAGACCGACUUGAGUAUUCUGGGAUUACAGUCAAAUAUUACAACACCAGGUUUAUUUGGUUCCAGCAUUCAAAUUCAGAGAUUUCCCCAGGCUGGACAACUGCUAAAUCAACUGAACUACUAUAUCUCUAGCUAAAGAAUGUGGUUUUUCUCUGAUCCAGGAGUAGUGUGGCCCAACUCUACUCCUAUCUACUUAAAAGACAACACAGGAGGCCUGCACAUUUGAGGUCACCUUGACAACACUGAAACCUCUUCUUCCCAUCUCAACAAUAAAAAGGUGGUGAAUAUCUUCAGAUACACAUCAAAUAUGCCUUUCUGAAGGUUUCAUCUACAGCAUCUCCCAAAUACCAUUAUAUAUUUAUUGUUUCUGGAGUAUUAUUUUACCUUUAUUAUCUCACAACUUCUAUAGAAGAUUUCCAAGGAAUAGAAAUGACCUGCUCUUGGCAAGUAAUUGCCCAAAAUGUUCAAUACUUCUGUUUUGAGUAUAUCUUGAACUCUCAUAUUGUUUGUUGCUUAUUAUCUUUUAUUCAUAUUUUAAUUUGCAAAUGGGAGAAACUUUUCUAAGUGGGUUGCAUAGCUAAUGUAUAUAAACAUUUUUAUGAUACUUCAGAUUAUAGCAACAUUUUCUGACUAAUUGAAUCUCCCUCUAUAUCAGUUUUGUUAUCGUUUGUGAGAUAUCUUCUUCCUCCUUUGAAUAAGAAACUCAGAUUUUAGGCAGGCCCUAAAGAAGAUUGUUUGGUACAGUGGUGUUCUUUAGAGAAGAUGCUCUGGUGCUAUUUUUGCUGAUAUUAUGGUCUCUGUCUAGUGGAGCAAUAUGAGUCUCUAUGGUUUGCUUUUUCUCCAAUAUGACUACUGGAGACUUUGAUGCCCUUGUAACUGAGUGGGUUGAGAAAUGUUGUCCUUGCACUGAUAAGGAGAGACAUAGUGAUGCUAUAUUGUAGAAUGUGUGGCAUCAUAUUUUUUUGAUAUCACUUUUCAGGUGUGAGUGAAAUCUCAAUGUUUCAAAGUGAUUUUUAGUUUUCUGUGUAAUGUGGGUUUUUUAUGUUAAUCUCCUUAAACUAAGUAAUGUGAAGUAGUGAUUAUUUUCAAUAUUAGUUGUGUGUUUCUAGAUAAGUCACCAGUUCAUUUGAAAACGACUGCCUUUCUCAACUGGUUUUAAUAAUUGUAAGAGUGAAAAUAAUUGGUAAGAAUUUUAAAGUGUCUGGAUAUAUAUGUCUGUAUGUGUGUAUGUUUGUGUCAGGUGUCUGUAGAAGUCAGAAAUGAAAUUCAGGAUUAUAUACUAAUUUUAUUUUGAAUGCUUGAAUUGUUUCCUUACACAUUACUUAAUAGGUGUCAGUAAGAAGGCUCAAUGGAAAAAGCCAACUGGGAACUCCAGUUGGAUCACUGGAACCCAGGUUAUGUGUAAGACAGAAUAUAGCUGACAACAGAACACUUCACAGAUUAUUUUUAAUCUCAUAAAUUUGUAGUACAAUCCAUAUCGCCUUACUCAUUAUAUUAUUAUUACAUUUUAGUGAUAUCCUGAGGUGCAUCCUGGAUUCUUUUUAUAAUGCUCAUUUAUUUUGUAUGCAGUGUUGUUUUUCUUGUUUUAAUUGCAAGAUUAAAUUAGUGUAUUUCAAUUAGUCUUUCAUAUUUACAUUUUCUGGGGUCAGAUUGCUUAUGAUUAAUCAGACACCACUACAACUUGUCAGUUUGUGUUAAGGGCCACAAAACUUUUUAAAAACACUAGAUUUACAGACCAUAUUUUUGAAACUAGGAAUCUGUUCUUGUAGUACAAGAACAAUUAAGGCUAAUCAUUAAACCAUGCCCCCAGAAAUAGUUGCAAUACACAAAUCUUGGGUUAUAUUUGUAUUUUAGCAGAUAGUUGUCUAACCUGUAGUCAGUUGUGUAGGUCUAGUUUCAUCCAGACAAUCUUUGGUAGAUUUAGGAUUAGAAGGUACAGAAAGAGUAUCUUUUCUUGUACAAGUUUCUGAAUGCUCUACAUGAGUGAUUCUCAACCUAUGGGUCCCAACCCCUUUGUGGGUCAAAUACACCUUUGACUAGGAUCACUUAAGACCAUUGGAAAGCACAGAUAUUUUACAUUACAAUUCAUAACAAUAGAAAAGCAUAGUUAUGAAGUAGCAUCAAAAAUAAUUUGAUGGCAGGAGGUCCCUAUUAUAUGAAGAGAUGUAUUAAAGGACUGUCAUAUUAACUAUUUUAAAAUUAGAUGUUUUAGUUCAUUAUAAUAUCAACAUCUAUUGUGAUCAAAUAAUUCUGUGGUCAUUAAUUGCUAAUCUGCUAUUCCAGUUCCAUAGCAGCUUAUGAUAAGGGAUAAACUUUCAUGGUAUAUAUACUUGUCAGUAACUUUCUUAUGUUUAUAUAAAUGUACAUGGAGAUUUUAGAUGGAAGAUCUUUGUAUUAAUGAUUUUUCCAUUUAAUCUAUCAUCGUGGUUUAUGGAGUUUACAAAAAUAUGUUUGCUGCUGCUUGUGAUGCUGUUGAUGAUGUGUAUAAUUAUUUAACUAUGAUAAUAUUUUUGAGUUCCUGCUUAUAUAAUAGUUUUCCAAGUAUGGUAAUAUUAAAUCAUCAUCUGUAUAUGUCUUUGGUUUCUGUCAAUAUUGUGAAGUUACCUGCAUAUGUUUUCUGGGUUAAGCCAGAGCAGUGGUGUAAUAUAGUGCUAAUUUUCAUAGUUUUGUUUAUACUAAGUUUCAAUGGCUUUGUACAUAACAGCCAAUCUAAUAGGUGAAAUAAUAUUUUAAAGCCUAAAUUAAGACUAAUUUUAAAUGCUUAAUGGCCAUGAUUUUAUAAAACUAAAUAGAUUUUCAGUUGUAGAAGCAACGUAAAGUUUCCAAAUUUUGCUAAGUUUACCUAGUGAUACAGCAAAGGUUGCAUAGUGAUACCUUGUCUCAAUGUUUGCAUUUUUUCAUAAAUUGCUUAAGUAUACACUAUGGUAACAAGCUUUUCUUUAUAUUUAAUUUUGAUGUAAUUAUAGAACCACAUGCUUUUUUAUAUAAUCUGACUUAUGCUCUGCAUUCAUUUCACUUAUUAUUCCCAUUACUCUUUCCCUCUCUAGUCUUCUCAUCUUAUUUCUGUUUAUACAUGUCACAGAACUUUGUUUUCAUUUAAGAUAUGCAGUUCACACUGGCCAAAAUUUUUCUGUGGUUAUUUUAUAACCACAUAAGUGUGCUUAUGUUCCUUUAAUCUUGGCUUAAAAUAUAAGAAAUGUUGAUUGUCUU